rnacentral:rRNA from 1 species
AUUGAACGCUGGCGGCAGGCCUAACACAUGCAAGUCGAACGAGUGGCGGACGGGUGAGUAAUGUCUGGGAAACUGCCCGAUGGAGGGGGAUAACUACUGGAAACGGUAGCUAAUACCGCAUACCAUCGGAUGUGCCCAGAUGGGAUUAGAUUGUAGGUGAGGUAACGGCUGACCUAGGCGACGAUCCCUAGCUGGUCUGAGAGGAUGACCAGCAACACGGGAACUGAGACACUGUCCAGACUCAUACGGAAGGCAGCAGUGGGGAAUAUUGCACAAGGGGCGCAAGCCUGAUGCAGCCAGGCCGCGUGGAGGAAGAAGGCAGUCGGGUUGUAAAUUUCUUUCAGUGGGGAGGCGUUACCGGCAGAAGAAGCACCGGCUAACUCCGUGCCAGCAGCCGCGGUAAUUC